ACAUUAUCUCACACGUUGCAGCAACUCCUCAUUGUCACACUUGCGCACAGCUAAUACGUAAUCCACCACAUUAAAACAUGGUUUACACAUCCAUAAUUCUACAAAAAUAAAUCCUAUUAACCGUGCCUAGUCAUCAUGCAGCAUGUCUCAACACUAACGCACACGUUGCAGCAACUCACAACAAAUGCACGGCAAGAGACGGAAGCGGAAGACGAAAGACGAAAGCAAAUGACAAAAACUAACACACGUAACUUGUAAUAACACAUGGUCGAUAGCUUGCAACUGAUGUACGGCCAUCUUCAGCUGUUAUAAUACCAAACACUACAGUAAUUGCAUACACUCCUUGUACAUCGUAAUCAAUAUGGCGAUCAAGAACGGAUUUUAUUUCAAAUCGCUCCUCAACGGGUAUGUACACUCACCACUUGCUUUCAUAAACAGGGAGUCCCCGGAAGGACAGACAUAAGGUAGAGAGAAGGAAGAGAAGGUUGAUUUUCCAUAUCCAGGGAAGGCAGUAGCAAAAAAUGAGAGGGACAAGAGGAGAGUGUGGAGGGAGAGAACAAAAGGGCAAAGAGGAAAGGGAAGAGAGAAAGGAUGUGGUAAAGCACGCUAAUGUUGCUUGUAUAUCGUGUUUGUCUUUACAGACUACAAAUUUCAGGCUCUUCACAACAAAUCCCAGGGUUUACCAAACACAUCACAGGCAUUCCAAGAGAACAAGUCGGGCUUUCGACAUGCUUUGGUAGAGGGAAGUUUGCUACACGAACACACCUCGUCAAUUAGCUUUGCUUGUUGUAAGCUCAUUCGACUCGCCGUGCUCGCACAAUUUAUCAAAAAUCUCAUCACAACAUAGACUGCAGCACCCCCAAACGCACCCACUCAGACCAAGACUAUUACCCUUUUGGGCAAGCCGACAUACGCGUAGCAUGUGGCUUAACCAGCUCCCUAAAUCCAGUAUCCCAUUUUGCAUUACUGCAUGUGCACUUCUCGCGCAAAGAAGGCUAUAUGUAGGAAGAUUCCUCGAAGUAGCAUGUAAUGCUUGCACAUAUACAAAUGCGGCACCCUUUCAUGCAUCACCCGCUGUAUCUUCUUCUAGUUCAUGCGCACUCCUUUAAGUUCUGCGCCUUGCAUUCGUUCCAACGCUCCAUGCAUGGGGCUUAUUACGCCUCGCUCCGCCCAAACGCCCAAACGUCCAACUGUAGCAGCUGGCUAAAGGGCGAGAUUGUUGGAAAUCAAAUAAUUUUAGCUAUUUAGAUUUAUUUUAGAGCCUUGCCACGGUCCGUGCAUGCCGUUGCUGUCUUUUACUGCUGCACCAUCGCGCGCACAUGGUCGUUUCGUGGGUCCUCCCUGGGUGACUGACUUGCUUUACCAGCACAAUACCUGUUUAAAAAGCAAAAAUUCCUAAAUAUUACCCGGCUUGUUCCGAGGAACAACCUUCCUUCUGUGUGCUUCGCGCGAGGUUCCCGCUUUCCGUAUCUGUGUACGAACUUUUUAUUCCUAGAUCCCUGCCAUC
rnacentral:lncRNA from 1 species